UACGUAGGGUGCGAGCGUUAAUCGGAAUUACUGGGCGUAAAGCGUGCGCAGGCGGUUUUGUAAGACAGAUGUGAAAUCCCCGGGCUUAACCUGGGAACUGCGUUUGAAACUACAAGGCUUGAGUGUGGCAGAGGGGGGUGGAAUUCCACGUGUAGCAGUGAAAUGCGUAGAUAUGUGGAGGAACACCGAUGGCGAAGGCAGCCCCCUGGGUCAACACUGACGCUCAUGCACGAAAGCGUGGGGAGCAAACAGG
rnacentral:rRNA from 1 species